UACAGAGGGGGCAAGCGUUAUUCGGAAUUAUUGGGCGUAAAGGGCGCGUAGGCGGCUUUGCAAGUGACGGGUGAAAUCCCUCGGCUUAACCGAGGAACUGCCUGUCAAACUGCAUGGCUUGAGACCGGGAGAGGUGAGUGGGAAUUCCCAGUGUAGCGGUGAAAUGCGUAGAUAUUGGGAGGAACACCAGUGGCGAAGGCGGCUCACUGGACCGGUACUGACGCUGAGGCACGAAAGCGUGGGGAGCAAACAGGG
rnacentral:rRNA from 1 species